rnacentral:rRNA from 1 species
CAGGCCUAACACAUGCAAGUCGAGCGAGACCUUCGGGUCUAGCGGCGGACGGGUUAGUAACGCGUGGGAACGUACCCUUUUCUAAGGAAUAGCCACUGGAAACGGUGAGUAAUGCCUUAUACGCCCUUCGGGGGAAAGAUUUAUCGGAGAAGGAUCGGCCCGCGUUAGAUUAGAUAGUUGGUGGGGUAAUGGCCUACCAAGUCUACGAUCUAUAGCUGGUUUGAGAGGAUGAUCAGCAACACUGGGACUGAGACACGGCCC